UUGGCAGGUCAGCCUGUUGAAUUCAUGCACAUUGAAUUUAGAGGCAUUCAUGCUUCAAGGAAUUUCAACAAAAUACAAAAGAGAAAGUGACCAAUGAUAGGCCUGGCUCCAUACUGGGGGCAAAGGCUAAUCUUUUUUGGGGUCCAAUAGGUUAAGCUGGUCAUCGUAACCAUUUUUUGUCAAUUGACAUAUCCAGAUCUAAUGCAGAACAAUUCUUUAACAUCUUUUAACUUCAACUUGGUAAAACAUGGUACAUAUCUGUAAUAUAAUCAAAGGAAGAAGUAUGUAUAACUACAUGUAUAAGGUUGUAACUGCUAUUAGAAUUUCAACAAAAUUGUAGCCUGUGUUGAUACACAGAAUUGGAUGUUUGUAAUCGUUUUGUUUGGGCAUGCAUUGAAAAUAUAUCAAUAUGGCAAUGACAUCUUAACUUUGUAAAAUGUUUGUACUGUAUAUUACAUGAAUUUGAGUUACAUUGUAUAUCAGGUCAAGAACCAAAGGCACCAUUGUAGAUGUAAUUGCUCAAGUGUUAUGGUCAUCCUUUUUUUGUUAAUGGACAACUUAAAAAAAUGAAAAUUGUGCUGUUGUUUAAAUGAAAUAAUGAUCUAUAUAAAUUGGCAAUCAUAUUUUAUUUUUGUUGGUUUGUAUUUUUUGCAUAAAGAAUUCAUGUAAGAAUUUAAAGUUUGACUGAUAUGUACAUUUGACUGAUAGUCACCAAUUCCAUUGUUGAACAAGCAUAUGGAGUUAAGCAAAAGAAAAACUUUUGAAGCUUCCAAGUCAAUUUGUACAAUUUGUUAUUGUAAUUUAUGAUGUAAAUGAAAUGUUAAUAUAUGAAAAAUAAAACUAACAAAAAAUAA